rnacentral:rRNA from 1 species
UGGGGAAUUUUGGACAAUGGGCGAAAGCCUGAUCCAGCAAUGCCGCGUGUGUGAAGAAGGCCUUCGGGUUGUAAAGCACUUUUGUCCGGAAAGAAAUCCUUGGCUCUAAUACAGUCGGGGGAUGACGGUACCGGAAGAAUAAGCACCGGCUAACUACGUGCCAGCAGCCGCGGUAAUACGUAGGGUGCAAGCGUUAAUCGGAAUUACUGGGCGUAAAGCGUGCGCAGGCGGUUUGCUAAGACCGAUGUGAAAUCCCCGGGCUCAACCUGGGAACUGCAUUGGUGACUGGCAGGCUAGAGUAUGGCAGAGGGGGGUAGAAUUCCACGUGUAGCAGUGAAAUGCGUAGAGAUGUGGAGGAAUACCGAUGGCGAAGGCAGCCCCCUGGGCCAAUACUGACGCUCAUGCACGAAAGCGUGGGGAGCAAACAGGAUUAGAUACCCUGGUAGUCCACGCCCUAAAACGAUGUCAACUAGUUGUUGGGGAUUCAUUUUCCUUAGUAACGUAGCUAACGCGUGAAGUUGACCGCCUGGGGAGUACGGUCGCAAGAUUAAAACUUAAAUGAAUUGACGGGGUCAUAGCUGUUUCCU